CCUUUUUGUUCUCACAUCUCCCCAUUCCCUUUUUAUCUCUCUCUCCCUUUCGAAAUUGAACCCUUGGCUGAAGAAUAUUUCAUCUAUGGUAUGUGAAACAGCAAGCACAACAAUCCACCGAUUGGCUUAAACCUCCGAACUGUGAAUUGCAAUGCCGUUGACAGUUUCGACGCCGUUCGCCAAUCGAAUAACCACCGUCUUGUGAGGCGAUAGUGUCUCCAAUUGUCCCGGCACAACGUGGCGAAGGAAAUCAAACCGGAAUCCAUUAGAUUCGGAGAAGAAACUUGAAUUUGAUGGAGUGAAUACGGUUUGGCGUCCAGAUUGAUCAGGUCGGAGCGUUUCACAACCGUUACGGUCGUGACCAUACUGAAUCCUCUCUUUCUCAAAGUCUUAACCCCAUAAUCAAAAGGCGAUUGAGAUUGAGAUAAAGAUGGAUCGACUUCUCCAGAUUUGAUCAGAAGCGUUUGAUUAGGAAACAUGCACUUGGACACAGAGUUAGGGUCCUAUAUGCCGUCGACGCUGUGGAUAGUGAGACGAUCAUUCACGUAGAGAUUGCCUGGCGAAUUUGAACGACGGAGAUUAUUUUCUUGGAUCCAGAGAUGGCGAGAUUGCUGUUGAAACCCUUGGAGACGAAGAGGCAGCGAUUGGUUUUCCAAGCAAAAAUAGAAGAAUUGAAGUUGAAAUUUUAGAAGACCUAAUUCAAUUCAAUUAAUUUAUUUUUCUUUCUACAAUCUCUGUUGGAGCUAAGUACGAGAAGAUUUGGCAAUAUCAGUCGAUUCACCGCUGCUCAUCAUCACCACUCGCAAGGUUCCCUCUCUCCCACCCUUGGUUGUUCCCUUCGCAAGUCUUCGACAUUUUUUUUUUCAACAAGAAAUUUCCAUAUUGUCAAGAAAGCAUCAUUGUAUCAACAAAGUUUCAGUUCAGUUCUUAUUCACGAGACAGUGAGUCCUCGCUCUCAGUUUUUGGAUUUGUGGUUUUGCUUUUUGCCCUAAUUUCUAUUUCCUUUCUCUUUUGAAUGAAUGUAGCUUUGGAUCAAAUUCUGAGACAUUUUUUCUUUUUCAACAGGAAAUUUUGACAUUGUCAAAGAAGCAUCAUUGUAUCAGCGAAGUUUUGGUUCGGAUCUUAUCUGCGAGACAGUGAGUAUUCGCUCUCAAUUUUUGUUUUUGGAUUUGAUUUUUUCCCUAAUUUCUAUUUCCUUUCUCUUUCGAAUAAAUGUACCUUCGGAUCAAAUUCUCAAACAGAAGAUCGGAGGCUGGUAAUCCCGUCAAAGAGUUUCAACCAUAUACAUUCUUUUCGUUUAGAUUAAUGUUCUAAGUAAAAUUGAUUUUGUGUGCAUGUUUUUGUUUUUAAUGAUUGUUUUAAUGAGCAAACACUUUGGGUGUUUUUCAAG